rnacentral:lncRNA from 1 species
CAUCGUCAUUCAGAUUAUAAUGGUUCCUUUUACUCUGAUAAUAUUGCUGAUAUUUCUAGAAAUAGCUUGUUCAUCCAUUUAUUAAUCUCAUAAACCCCUGACUGGGGGAAACAGAGUGGAAAGUGGUCAGAAAUGGGGCUGGAACAGUAAUCAGGAAGCCGGAACCUCCAUUGCCUCAAGAGCUAAGUUCAGUGUCAGGCCUUUGUCUCGAGGGCAACGGGGAACUCUGUAAAGGUAUUUAAGUUGGGGAAUGUAGUGAUCAGCAGCAUUUGGCAGCAAUCACCCUGGGCUGGAGUGGGCCUGACAGGAAUGGGCAAAUCUUGGGGCAGGAAAUCCAGUCAGAAGAUUAUGACGAUAAAGCAGGAGGCCUGCAAAUGUGUUUCCGGGAGGAAAAUCCGUCCCUGCUAUUUCUCCAGCCUUCCCUUGUUACCGGUCCGGCCCUGCCCCUUUAACAUUCAGGAAUGAGAGUGGAAGCAGAAGGCCCAGGUCCCCGGAGGUCCCGACGCCCGGAUUCCACAGCCUGUGAGGGUCCCUUGAGCAGAGCGGGACGAGGCCACUGGCACUACGUCGUGACUUCACCAACAGCCUGCAGUACUCGUUAACGAGAUUUCGCCAGGCCCCUUGGACUAACGCCAGGAUUCUCGGUGCCCGCAGUCAGCGCUCUGGGAUUAGACAACGCCCCACAGGCCGCGGCUCUCUGCUGACCCUCAGCAGCGAUGAGACCGGCGCGCACAAGCCAGCAGCCACUAGCUCUCCCACAAGGCCGAGCGCGGCCAAAGGGCAGCCCCGCCCGCUCCGCCUCCCCCAGCUCUAUUGGCUAGUGCACCUGCCACUCAGCCGCGCGCCGGACUCCGGCUUCGGGCCUGGAGGAGGGAUCCCAAGCCUCCUCGGCUCGGCUCGGCUCGGCUCGGCUCGGCUCGGCUCGGCUCGGCUCGGCUCGGCUCGGCUCGGCUCGGCUCGGCUCGGCUCGGCUCGGCUCGGCUCGGCUCGGCUCGGCUCGGCUCGGCUCGGCUCGGCUCGGCUCGGCUCGGCUCGGCUCGGCUCGGCUCGGCUCGGCUCGGCUCGCUUGUCCUUGAGGUUUACUGUGUUUGGCAUCGCAGUUCCGACGGCAGCCGCCGUUUCGCGACCCACGGCGGACUUGCAUAAACACUUUCUAGUUGGAAUCUCACCCUGUGAGGUGGGCAAGGUAGUGAUAUUCCUGUUUGACGCCGACAGAAAUAAGAGAGAUUGACUCUCAGAACCAUGUGGCGGGAUUUUAAAGGAGGAUCUUAACAGUGGCUCGGACAGACCCGUGUUUUCUGCUCCUAGCAUUAACUACGUCGUUAAACCCUUCUGAAUUUAUUUCGUCUGUGAAAUGGGGAAAAGAUAGCCACCUUGCAUAACUGGUGAAGAAUUCGUAAACUGACAGCAGAAUCUAGUAAGAGGACUGGCCCGUGGUCGGCUCUUAAUGGUGUCACAGAAUAAAGAAAAAGACUGGGAGAGAGAUGGGAGCUGAUAGACCAGAGGAGACCAAAGACUGAAACUGAAGACUAAACCAUGGAAAUUGGGAACAAGCACUUACUCGCUUAGAGGGUGAAAAAAGUGAAUUUGCCUACAGGGCCAAUUUGGAAGCACCUCUCCCUGGAAGCCAGUCAAUGAAGAGCCAUUGGAGGAUUUUAAAUAAGGAACCGAAAAAUGGAGUCUGAAAAUAGAGGCGCAGAGACCGGUUCUUCCCCAAACCAUCAUGGACCAGUUGGACUCUGAGAAGAAAAGUUUCUGAUCUUUAGUUCAUUCUUCCAACUCUCUAGAAAGCAGGAAAACUGAGAAUGAAAAAUUCUAAAUUACUCAGGACUCAUGGGUUGCCAAUAGAAGAAAUACAUCUUAAACUAGCUUAAGCCUGAAAGGGAAAUGUAUUUGUUCAUGUAACUGAACCAUAACGAAGGAUGGUGGACUGAGGGACCUGAAAACACCCUCAGGACUCCCUCCCUCUCCUUUGUGCUCCUGUCUGAUGCCGUCUUCCCAGACCUGCUCACUCUCCAUAAGGUGGGGAUGUGGCCAUCAGCAACGUGUACUUCCCCGAAGCUUGUGACCUGAGUAGAUAGGCAUCUCCCAACCCACAAGGAUUGAAAAGUUCCUCUAGGAAUUAUGUGGAUUGGCCCAUUCACUAUGACAUGUUCCCCCUAAGCAGCUAAAGGAACUGGGUCUGUUACCAGAAGAGGUGGGAGAGGGGUGCUAGGCAGAUUGAACAACAGCCACUACAACAUCUGAGGAGGAGACCUCCGUGAAGGCCACCAAGUCUGCUAGCAGAUAUUUCCUCCCUCGGAUCUCUCUCCCUGUCCUCACAGUCUCAUAAGUGAGGAUUAAAUACUACAUGUGGCCUAGGAGAUCUUAGACCCUCCACACGAAGAUAUAGUAACAAUCAACAUCCUAGUGUUCUGGCAGAGAAAAAAUCAGAAAGAAUCGUUUGCCUGAUUUUUCCAUCAAUACCAAUAAUUAAUUAGAGAUGAAAUUUGUGAUGGACUCAGAGAAUUAGAGAAGAUCUAAGGGAAUCUAGAUGAUUUCCUACCCCUAACCAGAGCCUCACAAAAAAGGGUGAAGAUCUAUGGCCGUCUUGCGUUUGGUGUGAGGCUGGACAAGGAAGUUCCUAAGGUCCUUUAGACUCUGUGAGAUCAUGAGUCCGUAAAACCCUUCCAACUUGAAAUUAGUUGAUUCCUUCCUUAAAUUUUCUGGGACAUUCCCCCACUCCCUCCACUCUUAUUAGCUGAUUUUACUGACCAAUAGGCCUUGAAGUUGGGCGUUCCAUCUAGAUGUCUCACAUCAACUCACCUUUUGCAAAUUAAGCCCAUACCCUUAAAGAGGGGAAUUCUCAAGCCAUUAGAAACUAGAGAGUCAGCUGGGCAUGGUGGCUCACGCCUGUAAUCCCAGAACUUUGGGAGGCCAAGGUGGGUGGAUCACUUGAGGUCAGGAGUUCGAGUCCAGCCUGACCAACAUGGCGAAACCCCGUCUCUACUAAAAAUACAAAAAUUAGCCAGGGGUGAUGGCAUGCACCUGUAAUCCCAGCUACUCAGGAGGCUGAGGCAGGAGAAUUGCUUGAACCUGGGAGGCGGAGGUUGCAGUGAGCCAAGUUUGCACCACAGCACUCCAGCCUGGGCAACAGAGUGAGACUCAGUUUCAAAAAACAAAAGAACAAACAAACAAAAACUAGAGGGUCUCCUCUUAGUUCUUAAACCCUCUUAGUCAACAUUUGUGAGCCUCUUUUCUGUAUGUUUUGGCAUCUUUAUUCCUUUCCUUCGUGUCUUGACCAAAUUCACCAGAUCAUGACUCAGAACAAAAUCCUGAGGUUGAAUAUAGAGGUCUAGAACAUCUUCAAAUUAACUGUUUCUCCUCAUAGAGAAUUAAAGAAAUUGAGAAAGCAAGAG